UCGAGAAUCUUCGGCAAUGGGCGCAAGCCUGACCGAGCGACGCCGCGUGCGGGAUGAAGGCCUUCGGGUUGUAAACCGCUGUCGAAGGGGAGGAAAUGCUAGUGGGUUCACCCAUUAGUUUGACCGAUCCUUGGAGGAAGGGCCGGCUAAUCUCGUGCCAGCAGCCGCGGUAAUACGAGAGGCCCAAACGUUAUUCGGAUUUACUGGGCUUAAAGAGUUCGUAGGCGGUCUGGUAAGUGGGGUGUGAAAGCCCUCGGCUCAACCGAGGAAUUGCGCUCCAAACUGCCAGGCUCGAGGGAGAUAGAGGUGAGCGGAACUGAUGGUGGAGCGGUGAAAUGCGUUGAUAUCAUCAGGAACACCAGAGGCGAAGGCGGCUCACUGGGUCUUUUCUGACGCUGAGGAACGAAAGCUAGGGGAGCAAACG
rnacentral:rRNA from 1 species